CUGGGGAGGACUCAGUGAAGCAAAGUGUGCCAGCGCAAUCUGAACACCGUACAGCCCUGCUGAUUUCCUUAGCUAUCUAAUCUUGUUCAGUGACUGCCAAUGUCAAUGACUUACAAAAGAAAAUACAUAGUUCCCCAGGUUAAGGAAUGAGCAGCACCAAAAGGAGAAAUAUUUGUAAACAUUAGAAUAGGAGCACUGUUUUGAGAAAAGUACGUGGAAUGAAAUAGAAUUACAGGAACCCGUGGAAAGCAGGACUUCACAGAGACGGCAGCCUUUGAGGAAGAUCUGACUGACAUUGUGUGGCUAAGCUGUCCAGGCUGGCCUAGAGUCACAUCCUCCUGCUUCAGUUUCCCGAGGAACCGGGAGUACAGCUUUCUGGGUGUCAUAAAGUGAGUAGCUUUGCUCCUCCGUCGUGCACUUCCCACUGGGAUGCUCUGCCUUGCCAAGGCCCAAAGCAAUGAGGCCACACAGUCAUGAACUACAACUCCUGACGCAAAACAGAAUCCACAUAUCCAGUGGUCCAACUGUACAGAAAAGAGAAGACCUUUAUUCUAACAUCAUAACUCACAGGAGUGUCUCUGAACUUCUAGUCAGGAAGCCAAGCCAAAGAGCAACUGGUGGGAGGUAAAGCAGUGCUGGACUAGGCUGGUUGAGAAGAUUUGAAUGCAGAAGAACAGAUAUAACAAUAACAGCACAAAACCUAAAUUGCCCAUGGAAAAAGCUUAAACCAAGUCAGAAAUUUCCAUUUGCCAAAUGCUCUUCAGGCAAUCUCAGUGUAAUUCAGAACAGGCAUUCAGGAGCUGCAGAUGUGUGUGCGUCCAAAUGGUCUUUGUCUUGGAUGUACACAUCCAGUUUCUUUCUGAAUGUGGUUUCAGAAGUUGCCUCUAUUACCACAAAGGAAAACACAGAAACUUAAUUGCAAAAUUUAUAUGAUUUAAAUGUUUUUUUCUUAUUACUUCUGGAAAACUCAUGUCAUUCAACUGCAAAAGAAAUCCUUUGGUAUGCUGUUCUUCAAAAUUUGGGGAUAAUUCCAUAAGGGCCUUUGCAGUGCUAUAUGAGUUUGUUCAAUACUCAGGGCUCUGAAUUCAUGGAAAUGCUUUGACAUACCACUCUUCUUCAGAAUGGAUAUGAAACAGUCCUACUUUUGCUAAUUAGUACGACAAAGUCUUAACAUCCACCAGAUGGGAGAUACCCCUGAAUAGCUGUGAAAACUGCUCAGUGCAGACAGCUAUAGCUCCCAAGACAUCUGCUCUUUCAAAUACCGCAGGGACUGCAGUGUCCCUUAAUGAAUUUACAGUUCAGGAGACACAUAAAUGAAGGAAGCCAUAAGAGAUUUCUGGGGACUUUUAUGGAUGUUAAUAAAAGUUUAUCUUUGUUAUUGAUCAAAA